GCCUCAGCUCAGUGGUCAGAACACCUGCUUUGCAUGCAGAAGGUCUGAGGUUCAAGCCCUGCCAUCUACA